UGUCAGCUUCAGUCUCCCAUGCAGAGCUCUGAGCGCAUGUGUGGCUCUGCACCCUUAGCAGCGUUGCUAACUCCUCAGUAAGGAAAGCCUGCUUCAUGUCAGAGUCUCUAAACUCCAGAAGAAGUCGAUAAAAGUCACUUUCUUUCUAAAAAAAAGUCGUUAGGGGGUCUGAAAAGUCAUUGAAUCUAACAACAAAGUCGCUAGGUUUGCAACUACGUGUCCCAGACUGCAUCCCUGCUGAGAGUCCCUCCCUCCCUUCUCAUGUUGCAGGAAGAACGUAAGCGCCCGCCCCUUGUCAAUCAGUCACCAUAUAAUUUUGGAUUGGUUGUUGUGGUGAAGUUUUCCACCAAUAGGAGAGAUGUUGUGGUGUGUUUUUUUUUUCUUUUGGCAAGCCUUUUCCGCCUGUAAGACCUGUCGCUAAUGUGUGCAUGCUAUGUUUUCCUGUCUCAUACAGCGCGAUCGAGCGCCGAACGUGAUCAAAAUAAGCAGAAAAAAAGUAUCGCGGACAUAAUUUAUCAUAACUCUGGUUUUAUUUGGCCUAUCAACACAAUUUAAAAACUGGUAUAUAGGUUGAGGUCCUCACUUUUGAGAUAAGUUGAAACGGAGAGUUAACGAGGCUCCGUCUUGCAGCUACAUCCGGUUAAAUAUGUCAUGUGACUUGAACGCUGGGGAGCGUCAAUCGAAUCGAAUCAAACCUAACUCUCAGAUGAAUCUUCAAAAUUCACCUCAGAAAUAUGCUUAUUAUUCUUCUCAGAGUACUGCAGGAUACACACACACAGACACACAGACACACACACACACACACACACACACACACACACACACACACUCAGAGUCUGUUUUUUAGCACCUGCAAAAACAUGCUAUUUACAUAUUUGACAAGAAUGCAGAGGCUUCCUUUUGCCCCUGAAAAAAAUCAAAUUUCAAACACAACUUGACUGCUCAUUUCUCCAAAAGACAACCAUGAAGCUCCAUCCAAACCUGAAGCAGGCAGUUGGUGCAUGUGUACAGUAACCUGAGGGGAGUGAGGUGACUGCUUCUGAGGAGAACAUGAGCAGUGAAGAUUCACCUUGGAGCUAGAACAGGGACGUGCACAUGAUAAUACAGGGGCAGGGGCUCAAGUUUUUUCCAGUGGUUUAUACAAUAUGGAAAUUAAUGUGAAAUUAAAAAACAAAGUAUGACUGUCCCCGUGUAGGUGACAGUGAUAUCCAAUAGGCUAGGCACUCACGAGGCUGGCUGUGGCAAGUGUAAGUGAAAGCAACACGCACUGGCAGGAAGAACAGCAAACGCCGAUGAAGGAAAAGGGUCUUUGCAGUGAUGGGCGUUACCAGAGAGGGCGAUGGCCAGAGGACAUGAAUGUGACGGGGAGGCAGCGCGUUGGGGGGGGGGUGCGACACGGCUCGGGCCCGCCAGUGCCCCAACGGGGCCCUAGUUAGGGCCCGAGCGUAGCUGCUAAGCAGCUGCGAGAGCCCUAUUAUUCCUGAUGGAUUCUUCUUUAGGGCCCGAGCGUAGCUGCUAAGCAGCUGCGAGAGCCCUCUUGUUAGGGCCCGAGCGUAGCUGCUAAGCAGCUGCGAGAGCCCUCUUGUUCCUGAUGGAUUCUUCUUUUGUUAUUAUUAUUAUUUUUCCUCCGCUUUAAACUGGAAAAUGGCCGACUUCCCACUGGCGAAAACUCAUGAAAUUUGGCAGGACGACCGGGCCUGGUGAAAAAUUCGAUAUUCUGAAGUCGCCCAAACAAUAAAAUGCAAAAUGGCUCCAUAGCGCCCCCUAAGGCGAAAAUUCACACUAUUGACUGUCACGCCUGUACGCUUUGUCAUAUUGACACAAAAAUUGACACACACGUGUAUCUCAAUACGUUCUACGAAAAAGUCAGCGCGGGCGCAUCUGUGAAAUGUACAGUUAGAGGGUUAUUUCGCAUUUUUUGCCGAUCUGCACACAUUGGAAUUUCGCUAACUCCUCCGAAGGCAUUCGUUCCACCGGCACCACAUUUGCUCAGGCCAAUCUACACCCCAUGGCCAUUAAAAGUUGUACAAAUCAUGACGCUGCACCCCACAGUUUACGUUCUAGGGGGCGCCAAAGAUAACCCUAAAAUCCACAGUCUUAAAAGUCUUAUAACUUUUUAUUUUUGUCCUCACUGGCCUCCAAGUUCUCUAGGAUGAUGCAAUGUCCAGCCAUCAACACAUUUGUGAAGGAAUUUUUACUCCCCAAAAGAGCGCCCCCACAUGGCAGGAGAAAAAAGUCCAUUUUUUCUUGUCCCCUAAGUUGAAAAAACACAUUGUUGACUGUCACGCCUAUACGCUUUGUCAAAAUGACACAAAAUUUGACAAUCACAUGUAUCUCAAUAAGAUCUACGAAAAAGUCAAUGGGCACGUAUCUGUAAAAUGUAUGGUUAAAGGGUUAUUCCGCAUUUUUUGCCGAUCCGCACACAUUGGAAUGUCGCUAACUCCUCCGAAGGCUUUAGUUCCACCGGCACCAAAUUUGCUCAGGCCAAUCUACACCCCAUGGCCAUUAAAAGUUGUACAAAUCAUGACGCUGCACUCCACGAUUUAGGUUCUAGGGGGCGCCAAAGAUAACCCAAAAAUCCACAUUCUUAAUAGUCUUAUAACUUUUUAUUUUUGUCCUCACUGGCCUCCAAGUUUUCUAGGAUGAUGCAAUGUCCAGCCAUCAACACAUUUGUAAAGGAAUUUUUACUCCCGAAAAGAGCGCCCCCCCAUAGCAGGAGAAAAAAGUCCAUUUUUUCUUGUCCCCUAAGUUGAAAAAACACAUUGUUGACUGUCACGCCUAUACGCUUUGUCAAAAUGACACAAAAUUUGACACACACGUGUAUCUCAAUAAGAUCUACGAAAGAGUCAAUGGGCACGUAUCUGUAAAAUGUACGGUUAGAGGGUUAUUUCGCAUUUUUUGCAGAUCUGCACACAUUGGAAUUUCGCUAACUCCUCCUUAGGCUUUCUUCCCACCGACACCAAAUUUGCUCAAGCCGAUCUACAUCCCAUGGCCAUUCAAAGUUGUAAAAAUCAUGACGCUAAACCCAACGGUUUACGUUCUAGGGGGCGCCAAAGAUGACCCAAAUAUCCACAUUCUUAAAAGAAUCCCCCCCCCCCCAAGGCAGGAGAAAAAGUCAAGUUAACCCUGCCCAUCGCUCAAUGGCUCAAUCGCAUCGCUCUCCGGGCAACACCGUAAGGAGGAGCAACUUGCCAUUUGGAUAUAUCCUAGCUGUGUUUGUGCCCUCACUCAUGGUCCAGACUUUUUUCAAAUAGGACAUGUAGUUUGUCUGCAGCCAGCGUUUUGGUAGAAACUGCGCCUCCCAUUCAUUAUAAUGGGAAAUGACCACAGACAAGUGCGCACACCAUCUUUGGACCUUGAGUGUGACGCGAUCGGGAGGGGGAGGCGUCGCGCUGGAGGCGGCGCGACGCGGCUCGGGCCCGACAGUGCCCCACCGGGGCCCUAGUUCCUGCAUGUUUCCUUCUUUCGUUAUUAUUUUUCCUCCGCUUUAAACUGGAAAAUGGCCCACUUCCCACUGGCGAAAACUCAGGAAAUUUGGCAGGACGACCGGGCCUGGUGAAAAAUUCGAUAUUCUGAAGUCGCCCAAACAAUAAAAUGCAAAAUGGCUCCAUAGCGCCCCCUAAGGUGAAAAUUCACAUGACGGCUGUACGCUUUGUCAUAUUGACACAAAAAUUGACACACACAUGUAUCUCAAUAAGAUCUAUAAAAAAGUCAGUACGGGCGUAUCUGUCAAAUGUACGGUUAAUGGGUUAUUUUGCAUUUUUUGCAGAUCUGCACACAUUGGAAUUUCGCUAACUCCUCCGAAGGCUUUCGUUCGACCGGCACCACAUUUGCGCAGGCCAAUCUACCCCCCAUGGCCAUUAAAAGUUGUACAAAUCAUGACGAUGCACCCCACGGUUUACGUUCUAGGGGGCGCCAAAGAUAACCCAAAAUCCACAUUCUUAAAAGUCUUAUAACUUUUUAUUUUUGUCCUCACUGCCCUCCAAGUUUUCUAGGAUGAUGCAAUGUCCAGCCAUCAACACAUUUGUGAAGGAAUUUUUACUCCCCAAAAGAGCGCCCCCCCAUGGCAGGAGAAAAAAGUCAAUUUUUUCUUGUCCCCUUACAUGAAAAUACACAUUGUUGAGUGUCAUGCCUGAACGCUUUGUCAUAUUGACACAAAAAUUGACAAUCACGUGUAUCUCAAUUAGAUCUACGAAAAAGUCAAAAAGCGCGUAUCUGUAUAAUGUACGGUUAAAGGGCUAUUUCGCAUUUUUUGCCGAUUCGCACACAUUGGAAUGUGGCUAUCUCCUCCUAAGGCUUUCGUCCCACCGAUACCAAAUUUGCUCAGGGCAAUCUACACCCCAUGCCCAUUCAAAGUUGUAAAAAUCAUGACGCUGCACCCCACGGUUUACGUUCUAGGGGGCACCAAAGAUGACCCAAAAAUCCACAUUCUUAAAAGUCAUUUUGGCCACUGCAGGAGUACAGAGUACUGCAGUUCUAGGGGGCGCCAAAGAUGACCCAAAAAUCCACAUUCUUAAAAGUCUUUUUGGCCACUGCAGGAGUACAGAGUACUGCAGGAUACACACACAUAUACACACACACACACACACACACACACACACACACACACACACACACACUCAGAGUCUGUUUUUUAGCACCUGCAAAAACAUGCUGUUUACAUAUUUGACAAGAAUGCAGAGGCUUCCUUUUGCCCCUGAAAAAAAUCAGAUUUCAAACACAACUUGACUGUUCAUUUCUCCAAAAGACAACCAUGAAGCUCCAUCCAAACCUGAAGCAGAUAGUUGGUGCAUGUGUACAGUAACCUGAGGGGAGUGAGGUGACUAUUUCUGAGGAGAACAUGAGCAGUGAAGAUUCACCUUGGAGCUAGAACAGGGACGUGCACAUGAUAAUACAGGGGCAGGGGCUCAAGUUUUUUCCAGUCAUUUAUACAAUAUGGAAAUUAAUGUGAAAUUAAAACACAAAUAUGUGUGAUGAACUGUUUUUAAAACUUAAACUUCAAAUAAAAAUUGUAAACUUCAAAACAUAUGCAAAUUUUUAACAAAGAACAUAGUAAUUUACCUCUAUUUACAUCAAAAUGCAGGCAAUGGCCCAGGCGUUCUUUGUAAAAUUAUUUACAAAACACUGUAUAGUCUCACAAAUGUCACUUUUUAUUUAUGCCACUACAAAAAAACAUGAUGUAAAUGAUGCAUGAUGUAAAACAUGAUGUAAAAAACUUGUGUAGAUCCUCCUCUAUGUCAGUCCAUGUGUAAUUUUUCCAUAAUUCUUUGUUUUUUGCAGCAUUUUUGUUAGUGUAACUGCAGAUUGUGCUGACAGUGUCUAUGGCACAAAAAAAAGAAAAAAUUAAAAUGCCUCAACAUGAACCCCUGGUGGUCUCUGAGGGUGAAACCUGCUAACUGCUGCAGCUCUGUCAGCUUCAGUCUCCCAUGCAGAGCUCUGAGCGCAUGUGUGGCUCUGCACCCUUAGCAGCGUUGCUAACUCCUCAGUAAGGAAAGCCUGCUUCAUGUCAGAGUCUCUAAACUCCAGAAGAAGUCGAUAAAAGUCCCUUUCUUUCUAAAAAAAAGUCGUUAGGGGGUCUGAAAAGUCAUUGAAUCUAACAACAAAGUCGCUAGGUUUGCAACUACGUGUCCCAGACUGCAUCCC
rnacentral:lncRNA from 1 species